UACGGAGGGAGCAAACGUUGUUCGGAUUUACUGGGCGUAAAGGGUGUGUAGGCGGUCUUGCAAGUCAGGGGUGAAAUCUCUCGGCUCAACCGGGAAACUGCCUUUGAGACUGCAGGACUUGAGGGCGUGAGAGGAGACUGGAAUUCCUAGUGUAGCGGUGAAAUGCAUAGAUAUUAGGAGGAACACCAGUGGCGAAGGCGGGUCUCUGGCACGCAUCUGACGCUGAGACACGAAAGCCAGGGGAGCGAACGGG
rnacentral:rRNA from 1 species